rnacentral:lncRNA from 1 species
GCUCUUUAUGUUUUGGGUUUUUCUUGACGAUUUCAUUGAUUUCCUUUCUUAGGCGGAGGGUCCGUGCCGCCGCAGGCCUGCGCAGCUGGAGCUCCUGACCUCAGCGCGGUGAGAGGUUGGAGCCCAUGGCCCCUGCGUGGCGAUGCAGCGGGCGUCUCCAAGCAUCCCGGGCUGGGCCUCCGGGAAGCGCUGUCCAUUUGUACUCAGGUGGAAGAUACGAAAACUACACCAAAGGAACUCACUUAAACCAUGG